AGCGCAGGUGGUUUCUUAAGUCUGAUGUAAAAGGCAGUGGCUCAACCAUUGUGUGCAUUGGAAACUGGGAGACUUGAGUGCAGGAGAGGAGAGUGGAAUUCCAUGUGUAGCGGUGAAAUGCGCAGAUAUAUGGAGGAACACCGGAGGCGAAAGCGGCUCUCUGGCCUGUAACUGACACUGAGGCUCGAAAGCGUGGGGAGCAAACA
rnacentral:rRNA from 1 species